UCGCCUUCGCGGGUGAAAGGGGUGAGGCGCCGGCGCCGUGUGGCAUUAUGGGUAGUGUAGUUCGGCAAGGCGAGGUUUUCCGCGUGGAGUUCGUUUGCAAGGAAAGCAAUGCAAAAAAAAGAAAAAAAAAAAAAAAAGCAAUGCAAAAGAAAAGGGCAAAAAAGCAGUGCCAAGCAGCACAGGUCGACAGGCACCCACCAUUGACAUUGAGCGGGUGGCUUUCGGAGCAAAGCAGGGGCUGGAAGGAGGAAGUGACAGGCAUUGCUCAGCACAAGGGCGAGGCAGGCGGAGGAGAGAGGACAGAGGAGGGAGGAGGAAGGGAAGGAGGAAAGGAAGGAGGAAAGGAAGGAGGACAGGACAGGACAGGCUGCCCGGCUGGGGUGCUCUGCAGGGAGACAGCGCUGGGCCCUCCUGGCGCAGACCUCCUGGCACGGCGCCUUGGCCUUCGUGACCUGGCGUGAAGCAGUUCCGCACGCAGCAAGCCUGGUUCUGCGAUGUUGAUUACAGGCAUUUGAUAACAGUGGCGUAUUGCAGCCGCACUGAAUUGUGUGGCAGAAAGCAGCUGCUCCCCAGAGGGGCCUGCCAGUGAAGAUCUUUGUGCCUUCACCUAAAAGCCUUCUUUGCCAGAGGACCUUGAUGCCACAUGCACCUGAGUGCUUAAUAACUGAAGUCGAUGCAGAGUUGUUGUGCCUCCCUCAGCUAACAGAAGUUCACUGCAGGCUAACAUAUGCUAGACUACAGCAAGACAACAGGCUAUCUUUUAUAUGCAUUUCAAAACAGCAUAAAAAAAAGAGUUUACCA